rnacentral:rRNA from 1 species
GAUGAACGCUAGCGGCAGGCCUAAUACAUGCAAGUCGAGGGGUAGAGUUAGCUUGCUAACUUGAGACCGGCGCACGGGUGCGUAACGCGUAUGCAACCUACCUUUAUCUGGGGGAUAGCCCGAAGAAAUUCGGAUUAACACCGCAUAAAAUCACAGUAUCGCAUGAUGCAAUGAUCAAAUAUUUAUAGGAUAAAGAUGGGCAUGCGUGUCAUUAGUUAGUUGGCGGGGUAACGGCCCACCAAGACCACGAUGACUAGGGGGUCUGAGAGGAUGAUCAGCCACACUGGGACUGAGAUACGGCCCAGACUCCUACGGGAGGCAACAGUGGGGAAUAUUGGACAAUGGGCGAAAGCCUGAUCCAGCAAUGCCGCGUGAGUGAUGAAGGCCUUAGGGUUGUAAAGCUCUUUUACCCGGGAUGAUAAUGACAGUACCGGGAGAAUAAGCCCCGGCUAACUCCGUGCCAGCAGCCGCGGUAAU